GUCCGCCAGGGAGGCCGGAGGGUGGGACGAGCCCAACGGGCCGCUCCAGCGAACGGCCCCGCUCGCUGGCGCUCGCCAUUGUGUUUCCAAAGAGAAAAAGCCUUAAUUAUCUGAAGGCAGCAUCUGUGUAAGGCGGAAGGAGGGGAAGGAGGCCGAGGAGCCCAGCGCGGCCUCUUCCCGCUGCCCUGGAACCACGUGCUUCCCCACCCCAGCUCUGGCUUCCCCUUCGGAGAAACAGGGUGGUCUUUGCACCCUCAACGAGGAGGGAGGCUUCAUCCCGUCUUGUAAGGUUUUGACCAUAGGUGUUCGUCCGUUAACACAGAGCACGCCCAAUGCGCGGGGCCUUGAACGGGACCUAGCGCGCGCGCGUGCUCCUUCCUGCAGGGCCCAGAGCACCAUCCCGCCGCCCCAGGCCCUCGCAGUAGCCAGCGCACUGACCAGUCGUCCCUACCUUGCCACUUCCUGGUCUCCUUUGCUGGUUCCUCAGAAUCGUCCUCAUCCUCGGGAUUUCACUGAGUGCAGACAGCCUUGCCUUGCUUUAUUUUUCAACGUGCCUCUGUUUUCUUUCAUUUCCAUGAUGACACCUUGGCCGAAAUCAUUUCAACAUUGUCAGCUUGCAGUUGUUUUUUUAGAUGAGUUAGUAGCCGGGUGACAAGCAUUUCCACGAAUUUCCCAAUGGCAAGUCUUUCUCUCUAACGUCCUUAGAGAACACCUCCAAAGCCGGAAUGUGCACAGGAUGGUAGGAGCUUGAGCAGCUGUCCUGAACCAUGAAGCAAUCUUGAACACUGGAAACCAAUUAGGAUGGUGUAGUGAGAGACUGAAGUCACAAGUCCCCACAAAGCCAUCCCUGAGGGAUGUGCGUCUGCUGUGGGCUGAGUCCUCUGGGCUGCCUAGACUGUCGUGUGUGCUGGGAGGGGCCCCAGGACAAGAGACGCCACUGUCGCUGGAACCUCAGCGAGGAACCCCAGCAAGGAACCCCAUGCGUGUAGAGGUCACUUCCUGGGGAAAAUGAAGGCCAGACCUCUCUUUAGGGUCCUGGAAUCAAGUCCUGCAUCAGGCUCUCCACAGGGAGCCUGCUUCUUCCUCUGCC